rnacentral:rRNA from 1 species
CCNCAAGGUUGAAACUCAAAGGAAUUGACGGGGGCCCGCNCAAGCGNNGGAGCAUGUGGUUUAAUUCGAAAGCAACGCGAAGAACCUUACCAGGUCUUGACAUCCCGAUGCCCGCUNNAGAGAUAGAGCUUUACUUCGGNNCAUCGGUGACAGGUGGUGCAUGGUUGUCGUCAGCUCGUGUUGUGAGAUGUUGGGUUAAGNNNNNNNNCGAGCGCAACCCUUAUUGUUAGUUGCCAUCAUUCAGUNGGGCACUCUAGCGAGACUGCCGGUAAUAAACCGGAGGAAGGUGGGGAUGACGUCAAAUCAUCAUGCCCCUUAUGACCUGGGCUACACACGUGCUACAAUGGCUGGUACAACGAGUCGCAAGCCGGUGACGGCAAGCUAAUCUCUGAAAGCCAGUCUCAGUUCGGAUUGUAGGCUGCA